AAAUAAGAAACAAAUAAUUGUAUUUAGUUUCGACCUAAAAUUUUGAUGAAAAUUCAUCCUUAUUUA
rnacentral:tRNA from 1 species